GCCGUCCUUGAAAUACCACCCUUGUAGUGUUGAUGUUCUAACGUCGACCCCUAAUCGGGGUUGCGGACAGUGCCUGGUGGGUAGUUUGACUGGGGCGGUCUCCUCCCAAAGAGUAACGGAGGAGCACGAAGGUGGGCUAAUCACGGUUGGACAUCGUGAGGUUAGUGCAAUGGCAUAAGCCCGCUUGACUGCGAGAAUGACAAUUCGAGCAGGUGCGAAAGCAGGUCAUAGUGAUCCGGUGGUUCUGAAUGGAAGGGCCAUCGCUCAACGGAUAAAAGGUACUCCGGGGAUAACAGGCUGAUACCGCCCAAGAGUUCAUAUCGACGGCGGUGUUUGGCACCUCGAUGUCGGCUCAUCACAUCCUGGGGCUGAAGUCGGUCCCAAGGGUAUGGCUGUUCGCCAUUUAAAGUGGUACGCGAGCUGGGUUUAGAACGUCGUGAGACAGUUCGGUCCCUAUCUGCCGUGGGCGUUGGAAGAUUGAAGGGGGCUGCUCCUAGUACGAGAGGACCGGAGUGGACGAACCUCUGGUGUUCGGGUUGUGUCGCCAGACGCAUUGCCCGGUAGCUAAGUUCGGAAUCGAUAACCGCUGAAAGCAUCUAAGCGGGAAGCGAGCCCUGAGAUGAGUCUUCCCUGAUACUUUAAGUAUCCUAAAGGGUUGUCGGAGACUACGACGUUGAUAGGUCAGGUGUGUAAGUGCUGUGAGGCAUUGAGCUAACUGAUACUAAUUGCCCGUGAGGCUUAACCAUACAACACCCAAGGGGUUU
rnacentral:rRNA from 1 species